UAUAAUUUGUUUAUAAAAUGUAUUGUUUAAUGAUGAUCCUUUCUGGAAAAACAGUUUGGUAUCUUUUAAAAAAAAUAAUAGCAAGAAAAAUGUUUGGACACCCCAAUGUCAUUGUAUCCAUGACACAGUGGGCAAAGAUCAUAUUCUAUGGAACAGAAGACUGUGGCAGGAAUUCAAUUAAAUGCAUCAUUAAUUGUGUUGAUGACUGUGUUUGACAUGGUAACAACAAUAGGUUUUUUCUUACAGGAUCACAUGGCAUGUAGGAGGGUCAGAUUGUUAAGUGUUGCACUAAGUGUAUUUGACAAGCUGAGUUCGACACUCAGUGUAACAGAGUGUCAGUUUGUCAAAUACCCCAAGUGAAGCACUGUCUCCCAGCUGGACUACUUCAACAAAAUGGAAGAUACCCACAGGCCUUAUUUUGCUUAUCUGGCUGUAUCUAGCAGCUAUUACAGUCAAUUUCCUGCAUUUGGUUUUAGGUGAUAUGCUGCAAUGCUUGUGUAAUAUUUGCAAAGAAAACAAAAAUCUUGGUCACAUUUUACUGUGAUCAUUCUACAGGAUGUAUCACAACCAUAUAAGGUAGUAUAAGAGUAGUCUAUCUUAAAUAGCAAAGAUGCAAGGAUAGACAGACAGAAGGAUAGAUAGAUAGAUAGAUAGAUAGAUAGAUAGAUACCCAUUGUACAGCGCUACGGAAUUUGCUGGUGCUAUAUACAUAAUAAAAUAAUAAUAAGAAGAGAUAGAUAGACAGACAGAUAUAUUAGAAAAAUUGCUAUAUUAGAUGGAUUGAUAGAGUAGGUAGAUAGAUAGAUAGAUAGAUAGAUAGAUAGACAGACUGAUUGUUUGAUGGAAGAAUACAGAAAUACCUAAAUGAAUAAGAGUAGAAAUAUACAUGUAUGUUUUAUUAAAGCUGAUUCAACUAUUUAAAGCCUAUUAUAAAUACAUCAAAACUAGUUUAAUAUUUUUAUUAGUAUUUUUUUUCACUUAAAAACAUUGAGAUGUUAUUUUUUUAUUGAAGUGCUGAAAUUCACAAUCCAAUGAACUGUCACU